rnacentral:rRNA from 1 species
CCCUUAGAUGUCCUGGGCCGCACGCGCGCUACACUGAGUGUCUGAGAUACGAGUCUGCCUGGUCCGGCAAGGUCUAGGUAAUCGCUAAAAGACACAUCAUGCUUGGGAUAGAUUAUUGCAAAUAUUAAUCUUGAACGAGGAAUUCCUAGUAAGCGCAAGUCAACAGCUUGCGUUGAUUACGUCCCUGCCCUUUGUACACACCGCCCGUCGCUACUACUGAUUGGAUGUUUAAGCGAGGUUCGCGAACUGCUAGCGACUUAGCUUCGGUGAGGUCGCAGUGUGGGAAGUGAACCUAGCUUUGGUGUCUAGAGGAAGUAAAAGUCGUAACA